AGAAACUAACAAGGAUUCCCCUAGUAACUGCGAGUGAAGCGGGAAAAGCUCAAAUUUAAAAUCCGUCCUCAGACGGAGUUGUAAUCUAGAGAAGUGUUUUCGGCCGCGGACCUGGCUAAGUCCCUUGGAACAGGGCGUCGUAGAGGGUGACAAUCCCGUACUUAUCAGGCACCCCGCGUCUAUGUGAUACACUCUCGAAGAGUCGAGUUGUUUGGGAAUGCAGCUCAAAAUGGGUGGUAAAUUCCAUCUAAAGCUAAAUAUUGGCGAGAGACCGAUAGCGAACAAGUACCGUGAGGGAAAGAUGAAAAGCACUUUGGAAAGAGAGUUAAACAGUACGUGAAAUUGCUAAAAGGGAAGCGCUUGAAGUCAGUCGCGUUUAUGAGACUCAGCCUCACGGUGUAUUUCUCUUGAACGGGCCAACAUCGAUUUUGGGCGCGGGAAAAGGGUUUGGGGAAUGUGGCAACCUCGGUUGUGUUAUAGCCUCUUACCGUACACCGCGCCCGGGAUCGAGGACCGCGGCUUUGCCUAGGAUGUUGGCGUAAUGGCUUUAAGCGACCC
rnacentral:rRNA from 1 species